GAUGAACGCUGGCGGCGUGCUUAACACAUGCAAGUCGAACGGAGUGCCUUUGAAAGAGGAUUCGUCCAAUUGAUAAGGUUACUUAGUGGCGGACGGGUGAGUAACGCGUGAGGAACCUGCCUUGGAGUGGGGAAUAACACAGUGAAAAUUGUGCUAAUACCGCAUAAUGCAGUUGGGCCGCAUGGCUCUGACUGCCAAAGAUUUAUCGCUCUGAAAUGGCCUCGCGUCUGAUUAGCUAGUUGGUGGGGUAACGGCCCACCAAGGCGACGAUCAGUAGCCGACCUGAGAGGGUGAUCGGCCACAUUGGGACUGAGACACGGCCCAA
rnacentral:rRNA from 1 species